rnacentral:sRNA from 1 species
UCUACACACACACUGUGGAGUAAUUUAUUUUACAACGCUUCUUCUUUGGGCUUUACGGCCCAAGGGUUACAAACACAAACAAUUAUUGUAUUUUAAACAUUGUCAAUUAUUUUUCAUUUUAGAAAAAAAAUAUUUAAAACUUUCAACAAGAUCUCUUGGUUCUCGCAUCGAUGAAGAACGCAGCGAAAUGCGAUAAGUAUUGUGAAUUGCAGAUAUUCGUGAAUCAUCGAAUCUUUGAACGCACAUUGCGCCCUCUGGUAUUCCAGGGGGCAUGCCUGUUUGAGCGUCAUUUCCUUCUCAAACCCUCGGGUUUGGUAGUGAGUGGUACUCUUUCUGGGUUAACUUGAAAAUGCUGGCCAUCUGGCUGUUGCUGACUGAGGUUUUAGUCCAGUCCGCUGAUACUCUGCGUAUUAGGUUUUACCAACUCGUAGUGGCGUUAGUAGGCGUUUUAAAGGCUUUUACUGAAAGUACAGA